UGGGGAAUCGUUCAAUGGAAGGACAACGGACUCUGACUCCGUUUAUUAAGGUUCGAAUCCUUAUUCCCCAGCCA
rnacentral:tRNA from 2 species